GUUUUAAUAGUUUAAACAUAAAACAAUGAUCUUGUAAAUCAUAAAUAGAAUUAUUUCUUUAAAACU
rnacentral:tRNA from 1 species